rnacentral:ncRNA from 1 species
CCCGAAACCAAGUGAGCUACUUAAAGGCAGCCAAUAUCACCAGGCUAAAUCCGUCUCUGUGGCAAAAGAGUGGAAAGACCUAUAAGUAGAGGUGAAAAGCCUAACGCACUUGGUGAUAGCUGG